GACGUAGGGCGCGAGCGUUGUCCGGAUUUAUUGGGCGUAAAGAGCUCGUAGGCGGCUUGUUGCGUCGGCUGUGAAAUCCCGUGGCUUAACUGCGGGCUUGCAGCUGAUACGGGCGGGCUGGAGUUCGGUAGGGGAGACUGGAAUUCCUGGUGUAGCGGUGAAAUGCGCAGAUAUCAGGAGGAACACCGGUGGCGAAGGCGGGGUCUCUGGGCCGAUACUGACGCUGAGGAGCGAAAAGCGUGGGGGAGCGAACAGGG
rnacentral:rRNA from 1 species